rnacentral:rRNA from 1 species
CCUACGGGAGGCAGCAGUGAGGAAUCUUGGUCAAUGGACGAGAGUCUGAACCAGCCAAGUAGCGUGAAGGAUGACUGCCCUCUGGGUUGUAAACUUCUUUUAUAUGGGAGUAAAUGGUUGCACGUGUGGGAUUUUGUAUGUACCAUAUGAAUAAGGAACGGCUAACUCCGUGCCAGCAGCCGCGGUAAUACGGAGGAUCCGAGCGUUAUCCGGAUUUAUUGGGUUUAACGGGAGCGUAGGGGGAUUGUUAAGUCAGUUGUGAAAGUGUGCGGCUCAACCGUAAAAUUGCAGUUGAAACUGGCAGUCUUGAGUACAGUAGAGGUGAGCGGAAUUCGUGGUGUAGCGGUGAAAUGCUUAGAUAUCACGAAGAACUCCGAUGGCGAAGGCAGCUCACUGGACUGCAACUGACACUGAGGCUCGAAAGUGUGGGUAUCAAACAGGAUUAGAUACCCGUGUAGUC